rnacentral:lncRNA from 1 species
UUGUCAGAUUAGACACCAGAACUUCACUGGAAAUACACAAGAUAUAUUUCUCCACUCUAAUAUGUGACUGCUUUCUUGGGUGAAUACAAUAGAAUCUAUCUCUGAGAAUGAGAAGCACAAAUCUGUGGACAGAUCCACAUUCAGUGGAGCCCUGACAGCUUUGAACCACUCUUCCAGCUUCCAUUGGCUCUGGAGUUCUCCCAGCAGAAGCACACAUCCAAUAGACUUGAAGCUGAAAUUUAUCUUUGCAGUCAAGGCUUUGAGGACUUCCCAUAGUUAUGUUUGUGUGAAUUGAAUAUAUAUCUCUAAAUUCUAAUGGUCGCCAGAGCUUUGAGUCAUUUCUAUGAAGCUCRUCAUAAUCUCUGAACCCUUCUCAGAAUUAGUCUCCCAGCU